UCCAUAGUCUGUAUAUCUUUUCCCUGAUGCAGUAUCUCUAGUACUAAUCUGCUAUUUCCAUCUUUCCCCUGCCAGUAACUGUCAUCACCCCUUUUUUCCUGGAAAUACCCAACUACCAAACAACACACACUCAGACACCUGUGUUCUUCUAAAUACUUUUUAGCCAUGAAGCUACAAAAAUGAAUCAUAAGAAAACUCCCUUUGAAGCCCCU
rnacentral:lncRNA from 1 species